rnacentral:rRNA from 1 species
UACGAAGGGGGCUAGCGUUGUUCGGAUUUACUGGGCGUAAAGCGCAUGUAGGCGGGUCGCUAAGUUAGGGGUGAAAUCCCAAGGCUCAACCUUGGAACUGCCUCUAAGACUGGCGACCUGGAGCAGAAGAGAGGCGAGUGGAAUUCCGAGUGUAGAGGUGAAAUUCGUAGAUAUUCGGAGGAACACCAGUGGCGAAGGCGACUCGCUGGCUUCUUGCUGACGCUGAGAUGCGAAAGCGUGGGGAGCAAACAGG